UCUACAGGCUUAACACAUGCAAGUCGAGGGGCAUCAGGAAGAAAGCUUGCUUUCUUUGCUGGCGACCGGCGCACGGGUGAGUAACACGUAUCCAACCUGCCCUUUACUCGGGGAUAGCCUUUCGAAAGAAAGAUUAAUACCCGAUAGCAUAAUGAUUCCGCAUGGUUUCAUUAUUAAAGGAUUCCGGUAAAGGAUGGGGAUGCGUUCCAUUAGGUUGUUGGUGAGGUAACGGCCCACCAAGCCUUCGAUGGAUAGGGGUUCUGAGAGGAAGGUCCCCCACAUUGGAACUGAGACACGGUCCAAACUCCUACGGGAGGCAGCAGUGAGGAAUAUUGGUCAAUGGGCGCUAGCCUGAACCAGCCAAGUAGCGUGAAGGAUGAAGGCUCUAUGGGUCGUAAACUUCUUUUAUAUAAGAAUAAAGUGCAGUAUGUAUACUGUUUUGUAUGUAUUAUAUGAAUAAGGAUCGGCUAACUCCGUGCCAGCAGCCGCGGUAAUACGGAGGAUCCGAGCGUUAUCCGGAUUUAUUGGGUUUAAAGGGAGCGUAGGUGGACUGGUAAGUCAGUUGUGAAAGUUUGCGGCUCAACCGUAAAAUUGCAGUUGAUACUGUCAGUCUUGAGUACAGUAGAGGUGGGCGGAAUUCGUGGUGUAGCGGUGAAAUGCUUAGAUAUCACGAAGAACUCCGAUUGCGAAGGCAGCUCACUGGACUGCAACUGACACUGAUGCUCGAAAGUGUGGGUAUCAAACAGGAUUAGAUACCCUGGUAGUCCACACAGUAAACGAUGAAUACUCGCUGUUUGCGAUAUACAGUAAGCGGCCAAGCGAAAGCAUUAAGUAUUCCACCUGGGGAGUACGCCGGCAACGGUGAAACUCAAAGGAAUUGACGGGGGCCCGCACAAGCGGAGGAACAUGUGGUUUAAUUCGAUGAUACGCGAGGAACCUUACCCGGGCUUAAAUUGCAGUGGAAUGAUGUGGAAACAUGUCAGUGAGCAAUCACCGCUGUGAAGGUGCUGCAUGGUUGUCGUCAGCUCGUGCCGUGAGGUGUCGGCUUAAGUGCCAUAACGAGCGCAACCCUUAUCUUUAGUUACUAACAGGUUAUGCUGAGGACUCUAGAGAGACUGCCGUCGUAAGAUGUGAGGAAGGUGGGGAUGACGUCAAAUCAGCACGGCCCUUACGUCCGGGGCUACACACGUGUUACAAUGGGGGGUACAGAAGGCAGCUAGCGGGUGACCGUAUGCUAAUCCCAAAAUCCUCUCUCAGUUCGGAUCGAAGUCUGCAACCCGACUUCGUGAAGCUGGAUUCGCUAGUAAUCGCGCAUCAGCCACGGCGCGGUGAAUACGUUCCCGGGCCUUGUACACACCGCCCGUCAAGCCAUGGGAGCCGGGGGUACCUGAAGUACGUAACCGCAAGGAUCGUCCUAGGGUAAAACUGGUGACUGGGGCUAAGU
rnacentral:rRNA from 1 species